AUUGAACGCUGGCGGCAUGCCUUACACAUGCAAGUCGAACGGCAGCAUGGAGGAGCUUGCUCCUCUGAUGGCGAGUGGCGAACGGGUGAGUAAAGCAUCGGAACGUACCGUGUAGUGGGGGAUAACGUAGCGAAAGUUACGCUAAUACCGCAUACGCACUGAGGUGGAAAGCAGGGGAUCGCAAGACCUUGCGCUAUACGAGCGGCCGAUGUCAGAUUAGCUAGUUGGUAGGGUAAAGGCCUACCAAGGCGACGAUCUGUAGCGGGUCUGAGAGGAUGAUCCGCCACACUGGGACCUGAGACACGGCCCAGACUCCUACGGGAGGCAGCAGUGGGGAAUUUUGGACAAUGGGCGAAAGCCUGAUCCAGCCAUGCCGCGUGAGUGAAGAAGGCCUCGGUGUAAGCUCUUCGCUGGAGAAUCGCACAAGGCUAAUACUCUGUGUGGAUGACGGUACCAGCACAAGAA
rnacentral:rRNA from 1 species